CCACAGUUUGAUGUAUGGCAACACUGCUCCACUUUGGACAUGCCUUUGUCGUGGUUCCUGCCUUUCCCAGAGAGCCCCUCGGAGGCCCAAAAUGAAGAGAGGCAAUGAAGUCAAGGGCCCGGCUAUCAUUCACUGACACCCACUUUUGGGGAUCUUAGGCAGGGUGACAGCUCUGAGAGCCAGGAGCCCGAGUCUGUCUCAAGAACUUGCACAUGCCUGUC